rnacentral:rRNA from 1 species
UACAGAGGUCUCGAGCGUUGUUCGGAUUCAUUGGGCGUAAAGGGCGCGUAGGCUGCGGGGCAAGUCGGGUGUGAAAUCUCAGAGCUCAACUCUGAAACUGCACUCGAUACUGCUUUGCUUGAGGACUGGAGAGGAGACUGGAAUUUACGGUGUAGCGGUGAAAUGCGUAGAUAUCGUAAGGAAGACCAGUGGCGAAGGCGGGUCUCUGGACAGUUCCUGACGCUGAGGCACGAAGGUCAGGGGAGCAAACGGG